AUUGAACGCUGGCGGCAUGCCUUACACAUGCAAGUCGAACGGUAACAGGUCUUCGGAUGCUGACGAGUGGCGAACGGGUGAGUAAUACAUCGGAACGUGCCCGAUCGUGGGGGAUAACGAGGCGAAAGCUUUGCUAAUACCGCAUACGAUCUACGCAUGAAAGCGGGGGAUCUUCGUACCUCGCUCAGGCGGAGCGGCCGGUGGCAGAUUCGUAAGUUGGUGGGGUAGAGGCUUACCAAGCCCACGACGUGUAGCCGGUCUGAGAGGGUGAUCAGCAACAGUGGGAGUGAGAUACGGACCAGACUCCUACGGGAGGCAGGAGUGGGGAAUAUUGCACAAUGGGCGGAAGCCUGAUGCAGCAACGCCGCGUGCGGGAUGACGGCCUUCGGGGUGUAAACCGCUUUCGCCUGUGACGAAGCGUGAGUGACGGUAAUGGGUAAAGAAGCACCGGCUAACUACGU
rnacentral:rRNA from 1 species